AGCGAACGCUGGCGGCAGGCCUAACACGUGCAAGUCGAACGAAGUCUUCGGACUUAGUGGCGGACGGGUGAGUAACACGUGGGAACGUGCCUUUAGGUUCGGAAUAACUCAGGGAAACCUGUGCUAAUACCGAAUGUGCCCUUCGGGGGAAAGAUUUAUCGCCUUUAGAGCGGCCCGCGUCUGAUUAGCUAGUUGGUGAGGUAAAGGCUCACCAAGGCGACGAUCAGUAGCUGGUCUGAGAGGAUGAUCAGCCACAUUGGGACUGAGACACGGCCCAAACUCCUACGGGAGGCAGCAGUGGGGAAUCUUGCGCAAUGGGCGAAAGCCUGACGCAGCCAUGCCGCGUGAAUGAUGAAGGUCUUAGGAUUGUAAAAUUCUUUCACCGGGGACGAUAAUGACGGUACCCGGAGAAGAAGCCCCGGCUAACUUCGUGCCAGCAGCCGCGGUAAGAC
rnacentral:rRNA from 1 species